GGUACUCGGCCGCGCCCGCUCGCGUUCCACACGCGCUCCACGCGAAAACGCUCCCUAGGCUACUUUCCUCACGCUCCCUACGCUUGUACAUGCUCCAUAAGGCUGAUUGAUCGAGUGCAGGAUAUGUGCUACUGAACGUGUAGGCUCAGGCCACGCUAUGGGCAUCUCUACUACCCAUAUUUUGGCUGUGUCCCCCCCCCCAUGCUGUACCCCCUACCCAUGUUGGCUGUACCUUUAUACGCGUCCCUCUACCCGUUUUGGCUGUACCCCCUUCCCCCUAGCACUGUACCUCUACCCAUGGUGGCCAUAUCCCUACCCAUGUAAACUGUUAUCCUUUCACGUUGUUCCUUUCUCACGCUGUACAACCCUUGCAACUCUGUGCUACCAUGCUCUACCGCUCCUCGCAUGCUGUACCCUUCCCAAUAUGCUGUACCCCUCCAAUAUUGCUUCCCCUCUCCAACGUUGUACCCCCUAUUUGUACCCUCACCCUGUACCCCUCCUACCAGUUUAUUUCGUCUCAUCACAUUCCACGACAACAAUCAACCCUCGGCAAUCAAUGUUUACAAAGUGGUUAGGGAACUGUGUGUGUGUAAGCGACCACUGUUCGUAUAAGCGAGCCCUGUUCGUAUAAGCGAGAACUCUUUGUAUAAGUGAGCACUGUUCGUAUAAUCGAGCACUGUUCGUAUAAGCGAGCACUUCGUAUAAGCAAGCACUUCGUAUAAGCGAGCACUGUUCAUAUAAGCGACCACUGUUCGUAUAAGCGAACCCUGUUCGUAUAAGCGAGAACUGUUCGUAUAAGCGAGCCCUGUUCGUAUAAGCGAGCACUGUUCGUAUAAGCGAGAACUGUUCGUAUAAGCGAGCCCUGUUCGUAUAAGCGAGCACUGUUCGUAUAAGCGGGCGCUGUCAGUAUAAACGAGCACUCUGCCUUCCCAGUCUUGUGAUAAGGAAUUAUAUGGCGAGAAUUGGCAAGCAAGUUCUGUAACUCAAGAACUUGGCGACACGAUACCAGUGGCGGGAUAAGUUUGGCGAAGCUGCGUCUGGCUGUGAUUCGCCAGAGGGUCACGUGGUGGCGAGGAGGCUGAGAGAGAGAUCGCCAAUGCCGGCUGAGGCAAUCCUGAGACCUGAGGUCUUUACCGAGGCCAAGAUGGCCGCUCUUGUUGAUAUGGUAGUGGGUGUUGGUAUUCCAGUGCUGUGUGGUACUGGUAUUGGUACUAGUGUGGUGUACGUGUGAUGUAUCAGAGCAGCACUAUUGCCUUACUGGUAUUGUCUUGUAGUAGUGUGGUAUUAUUGCUGAAAUAGUACUUGUACUGUAAUAAUGAGCUACUGGUGAGGUGCUAGUGCAGUACCAGUUCUGUAGCAGUGUUGUACCAGUUGUAAAGUAGUGCUGUACCACUUCUGCACUAAGUGUUGUACUGGUGCUUAACCAGUACUCGCAUAGUUGUGUAUGCUGGGGAUGAGCCACGACUCUUGGGUCCCGCCUCUUAACUCUUAAUCGCGCGGUGUAUAGACUUCAUACACAGAGCCUAUUGGGCUCUGUUAUAUCUGCAUUUAAAGCAACGCAUGGAGUCACUCCUCAACCCCUUCCAUGUUCACUAUUGCGAUACUGAAGAGAUUCUAAUAUCUUUAUGGCUCAUUUUGGCAUUUAGCUUCCGUCUGUGUCCCAUUGUUCCUGUACUUACCCUGCUAAAUAAUUAGUCCUUGACUACCCUGUUUAUUCCGAGUAUUUUAUAUGUGGUAGUCAUGUCUCCCUCCCUGUUUCGUUUCUCUCUUUCAGCGACGGGUAGAUAUAUAACACCUGUUUCCACUAAAGUUGUACCUUUCAGUUCUGGGACUGGUCUGGUGGCGUCUGAACUUUCUCCGGUUUGUUCCAGAGAUAAGGACUGUACGUUGGUGUCGCGUGUUCCAGAACUGAUCUGAACAACGACUCUUUGUUCACGUUCACAAAGGCAGUUCUUAGCCAACUUGAUCGGUGUGGUACUAGUUCUGUAGCCUUGCGUGGUACUAUAUAGUUCUGUACCGUGGGUGGUACCGUGGGUGGUACUAGUUCUGUACCGUGGGUGGUACCCUGGGUGGUACUAGUUCUGUACCGUGGGUGGUACUGUGGGUGGUACUAGUUCUGUACCCUGGGUGGUACCGUGGUUGAUGCUAGUUCUGUACCCUGGGUGGUACUAGUUCUGUACCCUGAGGGUACCCUGGGUAGUACUAGUUCUGUACCCAGGGUGGUACCGUGCGUUGUACUACUUCUGUACCCUGGGUGGUACCCUGCGUUGUACUACUUCUGUACCCUGGGUGGUACCCUGCGUUGUACUAGUUCUGUACCCAGUAGUUCCCACCCUGGCAUUACAAGGCACAAGUGGACCUCAUCUCUGUGUUUCUCGUGAUGGAUUUACUAUGUUAAUGAUGUUUUGACCUGACGCCGGAGUGAUGUGUGGCCGAGGCUAUUGAACCUGACGGCUGUUGUCUUAAUGGUCAGGUCAGGUGUUGGGUAGUUUGUUGCUGGUGCCACUGAGACUGUUAACUGGUGCCACUGAGGCCUAAUGGGUGCCACUGAUUUAGACUGUUAACUGGUGCCACUGAGACCUAAUGGGUGCCACUGAUUUAAACUGUUGACUGGUGCCACUGAGACUGUUAACUGGUGCCACUGAGACCUAAUGGAUGCCACUGAUUUAAACUGUUGACUGGUGCCACUGAGACUGUUAACUGGUGCCACUGAGACCUAAUGGGUGCCACUGAUUUAGACUGUUAACAGGUGCUACUGGGACUGUUAACUGGUGCCACUGAGACCUAAUGGGUGCCACUGAUUUAGACUGUUAACUGGUGCUACUGAGACCUAAUGAGUGCCACUGAGUUAGACUGUUAACUGAUGCCUCUGGUGGCAGGGAUGCAACUGAGACUGUUAGCGAUCAACUGGAAAAGGAAUUUGUUGGAGUGAAAGGGCAAGAUAUAUGAGGAUGUGUUGUCGCGUUACUAAUGUGGGAAAAUGUUAAAUUGAACAGAGAAAAUUUUUAAGCAUAUCUCACCCCCGACUUCGGGGACUCCACCCCCACCCCAAAAGAAGCACCCCACCCCAGGAACCCCACCCCCAGGAACCCCACCCCAAAGGGAACCCCUACCCCAAGAAGCAACACUACUUAAGGGUGGCGUCUUCGGUGGCAAACUAAGGUUUCCCAUACACCAAACGGCAGCAUCGAACCCCUUCCCCUUACCCAUUCCUUUCUCUCACUACCUCUCUCUCCUUCUCUCACUAUCUCACUACCUCCCUCUCCUUCUCUCACCACUCUUUCUCCCUCGACAAGGCCAGUUUGUUUAUCUUUUCAACGAGUUAAAUUUUGCAUGAUCUCUCUGCCAGUGAGAGAGACACUCCCUCCCUCUCUCAUUCCCUCACCUAGGCAUCGCCUCUCCUCCCAGCCCCAUUCCUACCCUUCCCCAUCACCGCAAAAUUAGCCUUUGUUUCAGCUUUCCUCCAUUACCAUUUCCAAUCUCCCGUCACCAAGACCUUUGUCCUAUCCUCUCUCCUCCGCUAGCCUCGUGCUGCUCACCGCCCGGCCUCUGAGCGUGGGCGUGUGGGCGGGCUUCCAAGAUGAUGUGCGGGGUCGGGCGUGAUGGUAAAGUGCGACCAGCACGUAGCGUCAAGCAUCGUCGCUCUCUCACCACCUCCCUGGGGCUCGAACCCA